rnacentral:rRNA from 1 species
UACGUAGGGGGCUAGCGUUGUCCGGAAUUAUUGGGCGUAAAGAGCGUGUAGGCGGCCCGGUAAGUCCGCUGUAAAAGUCAAAGGCUCAACCUUUGAAUGUCAGUGGAUACUGCCGGGCUAGAGUCCGGAAGAGGCGAGUGGAACUCCUGGUGUAGCGGUGGAAUGCGCAGAUAUCAGGAAGAACACCAACGGCGAAGGCAGCUCGCUGGGACGGUACUGACGCUGAGGCGCGAAAGCGUGGGGAGCGAACAGG